rnacentral:rRNA from 1 species
CUGUUCGACUUUUAAAUAAUUACAUGAAUUGAGUUCAGACCGGUGUAAACCAGGUCGGUUUCUAUCUUUUUAUUACAGUACGAAAGGACCUAAUAAAUUAAUUUAAUU